rnacentral:rRNA from 1 species
AUGAGCACCUUCGAGAGACUGAGUCGGCAGAUUCCCUUCCGGAUCAAAAAAGCAUGCAUUGGCAACGUCCUCCUCGUCUUCUCCACUGCCGGUGUCGACCAUGCUCCUGCUCUCUCGAUGACAUACACAGACCAGCGUCGACCAAGUUCUUUGGGCGCUCGUCUCGCGAGCCUCGGCUUACUACGACACGGCCAUCGUCUGCUCCUCCUCCUCGGCAAUCUGGAACCUUGUGUAGUGCUGCGGCAAUGUCCCCCGGCAGGACUGAGCGCUCUGCGUGGCCGCGGCUGUGCGGGCACGGGCCACAAGCUAAGCCUUCUCCUCAACACCCAGAACACCACCGGCAUGGACCUGGUCACUUUCGACCGAGCGCAGGGGAAGUUCAUGUCCGGCAACGACGCGAAUAAUGAGCUGGCAACGGACACGGUGCAUCUCAGAUGCGGCGGCGGCGGAACCAUGACGACCAUCUACAGGCUUGGGUAUUGCGCCAGGGACAUCAAGGCGGCGGACUGCGGGCUUUGCAUGGCGCUAUAUGAGGUGUACCGCUACUUCUUCCCGCUCAACGGCGUCGGCGAGUUGACCGACGAGGUCGGACAGUGCAAACAGGAUCUCCUUAACCCGUGA